rnacentral:lncRNA from 1 species
UUUUAUUAUACCCCACGCAACGAAGUUGCGAAGGGUAUAAUGUUUUUGACCCGUCCGUCCGUCCGUCAGUCCGUCCGUCCAUCCGUCAGUCCGUCAGUCCUGUUUCUUGUCAUCACAACUCCUCUCAAAUCACACAACAGAAUUUCACGAAACCUUUUCAGAAAAUAAGGACAUACUAUGUAGUUGUGCAUAUCGACGGGAAAUUACGAUUCAAUUUUUUUUCUAGGAGUUACGCCCCUUUGAACUUAUUUACUUUAAUGUACUACUGCAACAGUUUGUCAUCGCAACUCCUCUCAAACCACACAACAGAAUUUCACGAAACCUUUUCAGAUAAUAAGGACAUACUAUGUAGUUGUGCAUAUCGACGGGAAAUUGUGAUUCAAUUUUUUUUCUAGGAGUUACGCCCCUUUGAACUUAUUUACUUUAAUGUACUACUGCAAGAGUUUGUCAUCGCAACUCCUCUCAAACCACACAACAGAAUUUCACGAAACCUUUUCAGAUAAUAAGGACAUACUAUGUAGUUGUGCAUAUCGACGGGAAAUUGCGAUUCAAUUUUUUUUCUAGGAGUUACGCCCCUUUGAACUUAUUUACUUUAAUGUACUACUGCAACAGUUUGUCAUCGCAACUCCUCUCAAACCACACAACAGAAUUUCACGAAACCUUUUCAGAUAAUAAGGACAUACUAUGUAGUUGUGCAUAUCGACGGGAAAUUGUGAUUCAAUUUUUUUUCUAGGAGUUACGCCCCUUUGAACUUAUUUACUUUAAUGUACUACUGCAAGAGUUUGUCAUCGCAACUCCUCUCAAACCACACAACAGAAUUUCACGAAACCUUUUCAGAUAAUAAGGACAUACUAUGUAGUUGUGCAUCUCGACGGGAAAUUGCGAUUCAAUUUUUUUUCUAGGAGUUACGCCCCUUUGAACUUAUUUACUUUAAUGUACUACUGCAACAGUUUGUCAUCGCAACUCCUCUCAAACCACACAACAGAAUUUCACGAAACCUUUUCAGAUAAUAAGGACAUACUAUGUAGUUGUGCAUAUCGACGGGAAAUUGCAAUUCAAUUUUUUUUCUAGGAGUUACGCCCCUUUGAACUUAUUUACUUUAAUGUACUACUGCAACAGUUUGUCAUCGCAACUCCUCUCAAACCACACAACAGAAUUUCACGAAACCUUUUCAGAUAAUAAGGACAUACUAUGUAGUUGUGCAUAUCGACGGGG